rnacentral:lncRNA from 1 species
CGACUCUUGGAAUGAUUCCCGAACAGAGAGUCAUACUUGCCACCUAUAUGUUGGUGGGAGAGGUAGGCCAUUGGUGGCAACUCAAGUAGGCCACCUUGCCCGUUCCAGUCAUUUGGGAAUAAUUCUUGAUAACCCUUAAUGUAGAGUACCUUCUAGAGCAUCUCUGACAUCUAAAAAAAAUUGAGUCUGCACACUUGGUCCAGUAUUCCCCUGAGAGCAUGAUGGAUGAAGGCAGGAAAAUAAGAAAGUUCGAGUGGGGUCUCCGUCCUGAGAUCAGACAACAGUUGUAUGUAUUCGAACUCAGUACUUGCUCGACUGUUCUGGCAAAAGCACAGCUAGUGGAGAGGAACCUUCGCAUUUUUUCUCCAGCAGUAGGGAACCUCAGGCCCUCGGCUUCACACUGUAGACCAACACCUAUUGCACUUGUUCAAUAGAACAAGAGACCUAGGCCGAUGACUCAGGCAUCCCCUCAUAUUCCAACAACAGGACGCGGUAGGACUUGCUAGCAUUGUGGCAGGGAUAAUGGGGAUCGAC